GAUGAAGAACGUAGCGAAAUGCGAUAAGUAGUGUGAAUUGCAGAAUUCAGUGAAUCAUCGAAUCUUUGAACGCACAUUGCGCCCUUUGGUAUUCCUUAGGGCAUGCCUGUUCGAGCGUCAUUUAAACCUUCAAGCUCAGCUAGGUGUUGGGUGACUGUCCGCUUCACCGCGGACUCGCCUCAAAAUUAUUGGCGGCCGGUACAUUGGCUUCGAGCGCAGCAGAAACGCGAACUCGGGCCCGUCGUAUUGGCUCCCAGAAGCUAUCUUCACAAUUUUGACCUCGGAUCAGGUAGGGAUACCCGCUGAACUUAAGCAUAUCAAUAAGCGGAGGA
rnacentral:misc_RNA from 1 species